UACGUAGGGACCAAGCGUUGUUCGGAUUUACUGGGCGUAAAGGGCGCGUAGGCGGCAAUUCAAGUCAGCUGUGAAAUCUCCGAGCUUAACUCGGAACGGUCAGCUGAUACUGCUUUGCUAGAGUGCAGAAGGGGCAAUCGGAAUUCUUGGUGUAGCGGUGAAAUGCGUAGAUAUCAAGAGGAACACCUGAGGUGAAGACGGGUUGCUGGGCCGUAACUGACGCUGGAGGAGCGAAAGCAUGGGGAGCGAACAGG
rnacentral:rRNA from 1 species